GAUGAAGAACGCAGCGAAAUGCGAUAAGUAAUGUGAAUUGCAGAAUUCAGUGAAUCAUCGAAUCUUUGAACGCACAUUGCGCCCGCCAGUAUUCUGGCGGGCAUGCCUGUCCGAGCGUCAUUUCAACCCUCGAACCCCUCCGGGGGGUCGGCGUUGGGGAUCGGCCCUUUCACCGGGUGCCGUCCCCCAAAUACAGUGGCGGUCUCGCCGCAGCCUCUCAUGCGCAGUAGUUUGCACACUCGCACCGGGAGCGCGGCGCGUCCACGUCCGUAAAACACCCCAAACUUCUGAAAUGUUGACCUCGGAUCAGGUAGGAAUACCCGCUGAACUUAAGCAUAUCAAUAAGCGGAGA
rnacentral:misc_RNA from 1 species